rnacentral:tmRNA from 1 species
CCCCUCGAAAUCGGCGCGGGGAUGCGCUAUAUGAGGCUCGUCACUUCGGUGACUAUGGUGAUAAACGCGGCUCGAGAUAAGCGUUGCGGACCCGGGGGCAGUGCCCGGCGCCUCCACCAUCACCCUUCGGGGUGGCAGGGGGGCGAAACAGGCUCGACGCGCGUGGUAAUGGGGCCGUUUUUGCCCGGCAUGGUUCCGCCGUUAUCGGGCCGAUUCUAAGUGCGAACGACAACGACGCACUCGCUGUUGCUGCGUAAGCAGUGAUAAGCGCGGUUCGGGGGGCACCGGGCAACAGAAGCCCCCCACU